AUUGAACGCUGGCGGAAUGCUUUACACAUGCAAGUCGAACGGCAGCACGGGGGCAGCCCUGGUGGCGAGUGGCGAACGGGUGAGUAAUACAUCGGAACGUGCCUGGUCGUGGGGGAUAACGUAGCGAAAGUUACGCUAAUACCGCAUACGAUCUGAGGAUGAAAGCGGGGGACCUUCGGGCCUCGCGCGAUCGGAGCGGCCGAUGUCAGAUUAGGUAGUUGGUGGGGUAAAGGCCUACCAAGCCGACGAUCUGUAGCUGGUCUGAGAGGACGACCAGCCACACUGGGACUGAGACACGGCCCAGACUCCUACGGGAGGCAGCAGUGGGGAAUUUUGGACAAUGGGCGCAAGCCUGAUCCAGCCAUUCCGCGUGCAGGACGAAGGCCUUCGGGUUGUAAACUGCUUUUGUACGGAACGAAAAGGCUCUGGCUAAUACCUGGGGCUCAUGACGGUACCGGAAGAAUAAGCACCGGCUAACUACGUG
rnacentral:rRNA from 1 species